GGGGGCGGGCGCCGCCCGUCAGUCCAGCGUCUGGGUUGAGGUUUAUUCGCUGAAGACGACAGGAAUAUUGGAGCUAGAGAGAGAGAGAGAGAAA